rnacentral:lncRNA from 1 species
GGUGUACCAUGAUUAGAGAAUCAUUGGACAAGAGUUGUCCACUCAUCAGUUGACCCAUCACCAAUAACUGUUAGGUGAGGUGGUGAGCCAGUCGGUGAGACCGCACCACCCACUAGAAAUCACUAAUCAUGGAGAUUUUCACAUCUCUACCUAGGGAGUGUAGGGAUCUGAGAAAAUAGUGGGAGCCUAAUUUGUUUAAAAAUGAACCCCCUAAAGAAAUUGAUUAAGUCUGAUUACA